GUGAGGAACAUGUGACAUCCCGGUGCCCUGGCCUCCUCUGGAGACUGCAUAGGCCCCGAGGAGGCCAAAUGUGCUGGGAUUUGGGGAAUCAAACCCAGUGAUUUGCACUGAAGGGACAAUCAGACUUCUGUCCUGCUGGUUGGCAAGGCCAUAAGUUGGGGCUGUUUGUGGCUUUUAGUGUGAUUCCACCUGUUGGGGUCAAAUCCCCUUUAGGGCAGGUCCUAAAGCAGGUGGGGCACACCCUGAUUGUCAGCUUGGAGGGGUCCUCUGUGGGGGGUCUCCCUGAGUGGAAUCUGUCCAUCCCCCCAAGUCACCACCGUGUCUGGAGCUCUGCUGUCCUCCAAGCAGGAAGCUCAAUGCCUGGCCACAGGUGGUUCCCCUCAGCACCUUCAUAUCGGUACAGUAGCCACCAUCUGCAUUCCCUGGAUGGUCCAGCAGACAUGACCCUUCCUGUGGCCAGGCCCAGAUCUCCCCCAAGGGCCCUGUGAGUCUGUCAGAGAAGGAUCUGGAAGGGCUCUGUGAGACAGGAGGAGGGGGAGAUGGGACCUCCUUGCUUCUGGGAUGACUGUGGUUUGUGACAUCCAUCCAGUGGUUGAGACUAGGAGGAGGAGGAGGGGUCAGAGCAGGGCAAAGACCCACUUUAUUUAUGGAAGAGAGACCCUUUCUGUGCAUGCAGAACUGAGGCCUGAGGGGCCUGCGUCCUGAAGGUCAGGCAGGAAGUGUCCCAUCAGGGCCUGGUGUUCCCAGGAACAGAGCAUCGGCCUCCCCAGACACAGACUCCAGGAUGCGCUGACACAGGAGGGCCUGGCCCAGGUCUUGCUCCAGGUGACCAGGCCUGACUCUCUGCAGAAGGAACCAUGAAGCACUUAGGGAACCCAGGAUUGGCACUUUCUGUCUCACCUGGAGGAGCUGGAGCCCCGUCCUUCCUCUUCAGUCCUGGACACCAGAGAUGUUUGUGACGUGGCUCUGAGACACAUGCCCCAGAGACUCAGCCCCUCUACACACCUCACAGGGGCACAGCCACACCAGGGCCAAGGACAGAACCCAGGGCGUUGCACAUACUAGGCAAGAGCUCUGCCUUGCCUUAGAGCCACAUCACGAGCAUCUGGUGUCCAGAUUCGAGCUGCUUCCCUCUGCCACACUCUUCCACCAUGAUGUUCAGACCCACCUUGAGCCCUGAGGAAUGGAGUCUGCUGUCUAUGGAUUGAGACCUCUGAAACCAUGAACCCCCAAAUAAACUUCUCCUCCUC